rnacentral:rRNA from 1 species
GUAGGGAAUAUUGGGCAAUGGAGGCAACUCUGACCCAGCCAUGCCGCGUGCAGGAUGACGGCCCUCUGGGUUGUAAACUGCUUUUAUACGGGAAGAAAAAAUACUACGUGUAGUAUACUGACGGUACCGUAAGAAUAAGGAUCGGCUAACUCCGUGCCAGAAGCCGCGGUAAUACGGAGGAUCCAAGCGUUGUCCGGAUUUAUUGGGUUUAAAGGGUGCGUAGGCGGAUCUUUAAGUCAGUGGUGAAAGCCUGCAGCUUAACUGUAGAAUUGCCAUUGAAACUGAAGAUCUUGAAUGUGGUUAAAGUAGGCGGAAUGUAUCAUGUAGCGGUGAAAUGCUUAGAUAUGAUACAGAACACCGAUAGCGAAGGCAGCUUGCUGAACCAUUAAUGACGCUGAGGCACGAAAGCGUGGGGAGCGAACAGGAUUAGAUACCCGGGUAGUCC